rnacentral:misc_RNA from 1 species
GAUGAAGAACGUAGCGAAAUGCGAUAAGUAAUGUGAAUUGCAGAAUCCAGUGAAUCAUCGAAUCUUUGAACGCACAUUGCGCCCGCCAGAAUGCUGGCGGGCAUGCCUGUUCGAGCGUCAUUUCAACCCUCGACCUCCCUUUGGGGAAGUCGGCGUUGGGGACCGGCAGCACACCGCCGGCCCUGAAAUGGAGUGGCGGCCCGUCCGCGGCGACCUCUGCGUAGUAAACCAACUCGCACCGGAACCCCGACGUGGCCACGCCGUAAAACACCCAACUUCUGAACGUUGACCUCGAAUCAGGUAGGACUACCCGCUGAACUUAAGCAUAUCAAUAAGCGGAGGA